UUCAACACCGUUAAGCAGGUUGUCAUAUUUCUGUAUUCUUUCAUCUUGAUCCAUUCGAAGAGUCGAAGUCAAAGAAAUCUGAAACGAGCUUUAUUAUUUUGGAUUCCCAAUUCGAAGAAGAAUGCAAACCCUUAUUUAUUCUGCUGUAAAAGCUGUUGAUUUCGUGAUGGAUUUAUUUAUAAAUGUUCUGCGUACUAUUUACGCCAUGGUUUACUUACGAGUCUGGGAUCAAUCAAUCGAUUUCGAAAACGAAGAAAUGGCCGCCGAUCCGGAGGUUCAUGACAUGUUGCCCGAGACCGAAACCGAGUCGGAGUCCGAGAGCGACACCGACUCGAGCUCUAGUGAUAGUGAGAGUUCUGAUUGAUUCUUAAAUCCCAGAGUUGUGGACAUCUUCGACGAUUUAUUUUUAAUAUGAUCUCAGUUCCACUUCUCUUAUUAAACUAUAGGAUGCUUUAAUUGGAAUAUAAUAAACUAGUUCCUA